rnacentral:lncRNA from 10 species
CCUGGGGCCGGCCUGGCCCUGCGGGGGACCCAGGGGCGGGGACGGGACCUGGGCACGCGGGGCGCACCCCGAGGGCGCGCAGACGCACAGGCGGGCUCGCGCCCGAGCCCCCGCACGGGCCCCCGCCAAACACGCACACGCACACGCACGCGCGGACCGGGCCGGCGGACGGGAGCGCGGGAGCGCGAGGAAUCCCUGGAAUGAGGCACCGGCCAACCUGAGCCGGGCUCCGCCAGGCCAGCCAGGCCACGCCCUCGGUCACGCCCCUCACGGAGCAGGUGGGGGCUGAGCCAGGUGCCUCAGAGCCUGGAAGGAAGCUCAUCUCCACUGUGACCCAACUGGAUGGGGUCCACGAUGGGCCCAUUGUGAGUAGCUGUGACCUGAGCUUCAUGCCCCUCUGGCGAUUAGUC